rnacentral:rRNA from 1 species
UAAUUAAAGAGUUUGAUCCUGGCUCAGAAUGAACGCUUGCGGUACGCUUCACACAUGCAAGUCUAAUGGGUUUCUUAUAUUAAGUUGUCCAUGGCGAACGGGUGAGUAAUACACAAGAACUUGCCUAACAGUCCGGAAUAAGUAUAUCGAUUUUAAAUCGAGAAUUGAGGUAUCUAUUUGUUUAGGUGCUUUAAGUAUAAAUACCGGGUAUCUAAAGAUUUAUCGCUGUUAGAUAGGCUUGUGCAGGAAUAUGGUAGUUGGUGAGGUAACAGCUCACCAAGCCUAUGAUCCUUAGCUGGUCUGAAAGGACGAUCAGCCACAUUGGGACUGAGACACGGCCCAAACUUCUACGGAAGGCAGCAGUGGGGAAUAUUGGACAAUGGGCGAAAGCCUGAUCCAGCGCCUACCGCGUGAGUGAUGAAGGCUCUUUUGGUUGUAAAGCUCUUUUAUUGAGGAAGAUUAUGACGGUACUCAAAGAAUAAGUCCCGGCUAACUCCGUGCCAGCAGCCGCGGUAAUACGGGGGGGACUAGUGUUAUUCGUAUUGAUUAGGCGUAAAGGGCAUGCAGGUUGUUCAUUAAGUUGUAGGUUAAAUCCCUGAUUUAAGUUAGGAAUGUCCUACAAAACUGGUGAACUAGAGUUUGAUAGAGGAUAGUGGAAUUUCUAAUGUAAGGAUAAAAUCUAUAAAUAUUAGAAGGAACACCCGAAGCGAAGGCGACUAUCUGGAUCAAAACUGACACUGAGAUGCGAAAGCGUGGGGAGCAAACAGGAUUUGAGACCCUGGUAGUCCACGCCCUAAACGAUGGUUGCUAAAUGUCGGGAAUACUCUCGGUGUUACAGCUAACGCGUUAAGCAACCCGCCUGGGUAGUAUAAUCGCAAGGUUGAAACUCAAAGGAAUUGACGGGGGCCUGAACAAGCGGUGGAGCAUGUGGUUUAAUUCGAUACAACGCGCAGAACCUUACCAGCUCUUGACAUUAUUUUUGAGCUGCGAAAGCAGCUCAUUUAUUAUUAAUACAGGUGCUGCAUGGCUGUCGUCAGCUCGUGUCGUGAGAUGUUGGGUUAAGUCCUAUAACGAGCGCAACCCCUAUAGUUAGUUAAUUCAUAUUACUGCUUAGCUGAUGAGGUUAACUUAGUAUGUACUCUAACUAAACUGCCUGUGAUAAGCAGGAGGAAGGUGGGGAUGACGUCAAGUCCUCAUGGCCCUUAUGAGCUGGGCUACACACGUGCUACAAUGGUAAUGACAAUAGGAUGCAAUGAUGCGAGUCGGAGCAAAUCCUUUAAACAUUGCCCAAGUUCAGAUUGUACUCUGAAACUCGAGUAUAUGAAGGCGGAAUCGCUAGUAAUCGUGGGUCAGCACACCACGGUGAAUACGUUCCCAGGCCUUGUACACACCGCCCGUCACACCCUGGAAGUUGUUUUUACCCGAAGCACUUACCUUAACUUAUGGCUGGUUUUCGAAUGUAUAGACAUUAUAUAUUGUCUUGGUUCGUUCUUCUGCAUAAGAUGGGUACUGCAACGGUAAUGACAGCGACUAUGGUGAAGUCGUAACAAGGUAGUCAUAGGGGAACCUGUGGCUGGAUGAACUCCUUU